UACGAAGGGGGCGAGCGUUGUUCGGAAUUACUGGGCGUAAAGGGCGCGCAGGCGGCUCUGAAAGUCAGAUGUGAAAGCCCCGGGCUUAACCUGGGAACUGCAUUUGAUACUCUAGAGCUUGAGUACGGGAGAGGAGAGUGGAAUUCCCAGUGUAGAGGUGAAAUUCGUAGAUAUCGGGAGGAACACCAGUGGCGAAGGCGGUUCUCUGGGCCUGUACUGACGCUGAGGAGCGAAAGCGUGGGGAGCAAACAGG
rnacentral:rRNA from 1 species